UACGAAGGGUGCGAGCGUUGUUCGGAAUUACUGGGCGUAAAGGGUUCGUAGGCGGGAAUACGAGUCAAGUGUGAAAUCCCCAGGCUUAACCUGGGACGUGCAUUUGAGACUGUAUUUCUUGAGUUUCGGAGAGGGUGGUGGAAUUGCUGGUGUAGGAGUGACAUCCGUAGAGAUCAGCAGGAACACCGGAGGCGAAGGCGACCACCUGGCCGGAUACUGACGCUGAGGAACGAAAGCGUGGGGAGCAAACAGG
rnacentral:rRNA from 1 species